UUUCAGGCGGCCUCCUGAGAAAUGUUUGCAAUUGUAAGGCGUCUCUCUCAUCCAGGUUUACCCAGAUUCGCAAACUAUGGCGACAAACAACCAUAGCAGAAGCAUGUCCGGAUUAUUUCACAUAUAUCACAAAAUCCUGCAAAGGGUCUGUCCCCAUUGGAUCACCUCCCAUCACGCCACACACGACGUGAAUGACUUCGUGCUUCUCCAUACCUGCAUUGAUCUCUGGGUCCAUUGCCAGUUAUAAACCUCCAAGGGCAAUAGCCAUGAGGUGAUGUACAGUCAAGCAUCACUUAAUAACCAGGAUACAUUCUGAGAAAUUUGUCGUUAGGCAAUUUUUUCAUUGCACGAACCUCACAGAGUGUACUUACACUAACCUAGAUAGUAGCAUCCAGUAAACACCUGGGCUAUAUGGUCUAGCCUAUUGCUCCUAGGCUACAAACCUGUAUAGCAUGUUACUGUACUGAAUAUGUAGGCACUUGUAACACAAUGGUAAGUGUUUUUGUAUCUAAACAUAUCUAAACAUAGGAGAGGUAAUGCAUUGUGCUACAGCAUUACAAUGGCUAUGACAGACACUAGGCAAUAGGAAUUUUCCAGCUCCAUUAUAAUCUUAAGGGACCACCAUGGCACAUGCAGCCCAUUGUUGACCAAAAGUUGUUAUGUGGUGAAUGACUAUAAUUGGCUUUUCAGAGCAACCACUCACAAGGGGGUGUAGUAUAGCUUACUAGACAAAACUGCAGCCGCUGCUCUGUUUUUUGCUCUUAGAAAACUGAGUACCUGAUUUGGACAAAAUCAUAAUAAAAUUUAGAUAGAGCCAACAUUUGUCCUCUGGAAGUUUCUGACAAGAUACAAGUCACCGUUAUAAUAGUCAAAUGUCAAAGUGGUAUAUCUAACAAAAUUAAAACAGACAGCUAGGAGUGAGAAGAUUUAAGAAAAUUCAGGUGGCCCAAAGGAAAGCCAAGACAAGACAUUCUCUCCCGGCCUUUGGGCCUGGAUUUUCAUUUCAGCAGGUAACGAGGAGACCAAAGGCCUAGUUAUUUAUGGAGAUCUGGGGCCACAGCAGAGCUCCUCAUGGCAGGAUAAGGCAGUGGAAAGCAGACUCAACGGUUAACCCACAGUCCUCCUCAGCAAGCUGGGAGAAGCAACUGAUGCCACUUAGAUGCUUAGACCGGGCCUUCUGGGAGAGAUCUGGCCCAAGGAGCAGCCGGCAGCUUGACACAGUGACCAAUUGGAAGCACAGCAGCCACACGCCAUGAAACAAGACGGAGUUUCGCUCUUGGCUGGAGUGCAAUGUCGCAAUCUGGGCUCACCACAACCUCCACCUCCCGGGUUCAAGUGAUUCUCCUGCCUCAGCCUCCCAAGUAGCUGGGAUUACAGGCAUGCACCACCAUACCAGACUAAUUUUGUAAUUUUAGUAGAAACGGGGUUUUUCCAUGUUGGUCAGGCUGGUCCUGAACUCCCGACCUCGGGUGAUCCUCCCACCUCAGCCUCCCUAUAUUAUUAAUCUUAAGUCUAAAUGUUCUAUUAGAAAAGUUACAAUCACAUAUGCAGCUUGCAUUACAUUGCUAAUGGAACACGCUGCUCUAAACCAGGGAUUGGCAAACUAUGGGCAGUGGACAACUUCCAGCCCACUGUCUGUUUCUGUACAGCUGGUAAACAAGGAAUGGUUUUCACAUUUUUAAAUGGCAGAAAAAAAAUAAUUUGUGAUACGUGAACAUUAAUAAAAUUCAAAUUUCAGUGUCCAUGAAGAGUUAUAUUGGAAAAGAGAACCUACAACCAUUGCCUCUCCCGCUGCGUAAGUUCGGCAAAGGCUCACGCUUUUGUCUUUUGUUGGAUGAAUGACUACCAACACCUAGGACAGUGCCUGCACAAAUUAGGUGCCCUAUAAAUAUUUGUUGAGUCACUAAAUUUUAAAAUUCUAGAUUAUGGGGACUGUGUAGGAAGGACCUCAUUCUUUAGAGAACAUGAAUUACCCACUACUACAACUCGCUGUGUCCAUCCCUAAGCCAGAAGAGCGGAGGUUAAGACCCCAAGCAAGCCCACACGUAAUGACACAGGAAUGGAAAGCUGAUGCUCGGCCUGGUCUCCUGCUGAGCCUGGACACAGGCAUAGGCACUGCUGCAAUGGCAAGAGAAGCUCAAAAAGUUUUAAAACAAAAUACAUUAUUUUAUUUCAAUUCCA
rnacentral:lncRNA from 1 species